CACGUAGGGCGCAAGCGUUGUCCGGAAUUAUUGGGCGUAAAGAGCUCGUAGGCGGUCUGUUGCGUCCGCUGUGAAAACUCGGGGCUUAACCCCGAGCCUGCAGUGGAUACGGGCAGACUAGAGGUAGGUAGGGGAGAAUGGAAUUCCCGGUGUAGCGGUGAAAUGCGCAGAUAUCGGGAGGAACAUCAGUGGCGAAAGCGACUUCCUGGACCAGUACCGACGUUCAGGCACGAAAGCGUGGGGAGCAAACAGG
rnacentral:rRNA from 1 species